UUUUCUUUUUCAUCCUGCUGCGUUUGCUUUUGCUUUCCAUAUCUGUGUCAAUCUGCGUGCUGGUUUACCAUGGGCUGCUUUGUGGAUGGAGAAAAUGGUGAGCUCAGAGAAGAAUUAGGCAUUACUCUUCCCUAACCUUUCUCUAAAGAAAGUCACUAGAGAAAAACGCUGGUUUUUAUUAAAUUAUAAAGUGAAAGAAGACCUGUUGUUGCCUGUCAGAAGCUGAUUGGAAGGAGUGCCAAAGAAAAAUUCCCUCUUUCACUCACCUCCAUGAGUAAAUGCUGCGAGCCAGGUAGGCACAGGCUUUUUUGGGCUGGGUCCUCUCGAACCCAAUGCAGAUGGGCAGGGCUAUGGAAUUGUAGGGAGAAAUUUUGUUCCAUGGGGGCAGUGAAAGACUUUUCCAAAACUUGGAAGUGGCUUGAAGGUGCUGCCCUUUUUGUGUGUGUGAAUACUUUGGAGGUGGCAUCAUGGCUCAGUCAACUUUGUGAGUGUGUGAUGGUGGCAGGAGAGGAAAAAGUGUUGGCUGAGGAUGGCAGCUGUUGAUGUCCCCAAAGCACUUUGCUUGUGCUCAGAGCCCAUCAUGUCCCCUUCCUUAUGAUGGUUGAGAAGAGCUUUUCUACGGGACCGGAGAGGAAGCCACAAACAUUGUGACGGGGAAAAGCAAAACCUACCCCCAUUGUGAGGUGCGAGAGCUUUGACAUCUCCCGAAGGGCAAGAAGGUGGUAACUCUCAAGGCCUCAAUCCUUGGUUGGCCCCGGCCAAUGAGGUGCUGCGUCGCCAAGCUGCUCCACCCGUUUUAAAGUACAAGAAGAUGGACGAUACGUAGCAAACUCCCAUGUGACUCCAACUUGUAUCAAACUCAUUGAUUUUGGAGCGUGGGAGGAGAGCUCCAUGCAAAGGCCAAUAUAACCGAAUGGAUACAAAGCUAGGUGCACCGGCCAGGAUCCACCGAGGUAGGCAUCGUAUUUAGUUAGUCCGUCCUUUUCCAGGGGUUCUCUUUGGCUAGGAGAGAAGGGAGAUGGCUCAAGAUCAAAGCAUGCUUUAUAAUAAUACAAACAUACUUGUAACUUGGGGCAGCUGUUCUUCUUUACCAAAUUUGUAACAGCCGUCCUAUCAUUGCUUAUCUAAACAAAAAAUCAGAAUUGUCUA